CUGCGCCACAAGUGGGAGUCACGAUUAUUGGGCCUAAAGCGUCCGUAGCCGGUUUUGCAAAUCUUUUGUGAAAUUGCUGAGCUUAACUCAGCAGCGUGCAGAAGACACUACAAGACUUGGAACCAUGAGGAGUCAGAAGGAUGCUGGGGGGAGCGGUAAAAUGCUAUAAUCCCCGGUAGACUACCUGUGGCGAAGGCGUCUGACUAGAAUGGAUUCGACGGUGAGGGACGAAAGCUAGGGGAGCGAUCCGGAUUAGAUACCCGAGUAGUCC
rnacentral:rRNA from 1 species